rfam:Oryza sativa (indica cultivar-group) chromosome 1, whole genome shotgun sequence.
UUCAAGUGCAACUAUAAAUUUCCCUGUCCAAUUUUAAUCAUCCAUCUUAUUUAAAAAAAUUUUAUAAUUAAUAUUAUUAUUAUUAUGAGAUGAUAAAAUAUGAAUAGUAUUUUAUAUGCGACUUAUGUUAAAAAAAUUAAAUAAGAGAACGGUCAAAGUUGUGCACGGAAAAUUAUAUCUGUACUUGAA